rnacentral:rRNA from 1 species
AGCGUGGAGACAGGUGGUGCAUGGCUGUCGUCAGCUCGUGUCGUGAGAUGUUGGGUUAAGUCCCGCAACGAGCGCAACCCUCACCUCUUGUUGCCAUCAGGUCACGCUGGGCACUCUAGAGGAACUGCCCCGGUCAACGGGGAGGAAGGCGGGUAUGACGUCAAGUCAUCAUGCCCCUUACGUCCUGGGCUACACACGUGCUACAAUGGCCGGUACAAAGGGAUGCCACACCGCGAGGUAGAGCUAAACCCAAAAAGCCGGUCUAAGUUCAGAUUGGAGUCUGCAACUCGACUCCAUGAAGGAGGAAUCGCUAGUAAUCGCGUAUCAGCACGACGCGGUGAAUACGUUCCCGGGCCUUGUGCACACCGCCCGUCACACCACGAAAGCCUGCUGUACUCGAAGUCGCUGAG